rnacentral:rRNA from 1 species
UGCAAGUCGAACGAUGAAGCCUAGCUUGCUGGGUGGAUUAGUGGCGAACGGGUGAGUAACACGUGAGCAACGUGCCCGAGACUCUGGAAUAACUACCGGAAACGGUGGCUAAUACUGGAUAUGUGCCAGGGAGGCAUCUCCUCUGGUUGGAAAGAUUUUUCGGUUUCGGAUCGGCUCACGGCCUAUCAGCUUGUUGGUGGGGUAAUGGCCUACCAAGGCGACGACGGGUAGCCGGCCUGAGAGGGUGACCGGCCACACUGGGACUGAGACACGGCCCAGACUCCUACGGGAGGCAGCAGUGGGGAAUAUUGCACAAUGGGCGCAAGCCUGAUGCAGCAACGCCGCGUGAGGGAUGACGGCCUUCGGGUUGUAAACCUCUUUUAGUAGGGAAGAAGCGAAAGUGACGGUACCUGCAGAAAAAGCACCGGCUAACUACGUGCCAGCAGCCGCGGUAAUACGUAGGGUGCAAGCGUUGUCCGGAAUUAUUGGGCGUAAAGAGCUCGUAGGCGGUUUGUCGCGUCUGCUGUGAAAUCCCGAGGCUCAACCUCGGGCCUGCAGUGGGUACGGGCAGACUUGAGUGCGGUAGGGGAGAUUGGAAUUCCUGGUGUAGCGGUGGAAUGCGCAGAUAUCAGGAGGAACACCGAUGGCGAAGGCAGAUCUCUGGGCCGUUACUGACGCUGAGGAGCGAAAGCAUGGGGAGCGAACAGGAUUAGAUACCCUGGUAGUCCAUGCCGUAAACGUUGGGCGCUAGAUGUGGGGACCAUUCCACGGUUUCUGUGUCGUAGCUAACGCAUUAAGCGCCCCGCCUGGGGAGUACGGCCGCAAGGCUAAAACUCAAAGGAAUUGACGGGGGCCCGCACAAGCGGCGGAGCAUGCGGAUUAAUUCGAUGCAACGCGAAGAACCUUACCAAGGCUUGACAUAUACCGGAAACUUCCAGAGAUGGUUGCCCUGCUUGCAGUCGGUAUACAGGUGGGUGCAUGGGUUGUCGUCAGCUCGUGUCGUGAGAUGUUCCGGUUAAGUCCGGCAACGAAGCGCAACCCUUCGUCCUUAUGUUGCCAGCACCGUUAUGGUGGG